rnacentral:sRNA from 1 species
UCAACUUUUUUGGAAACUGAAGUCCCUUGUGUAUCUACAGAACAAGUAUAACACAGAAAGUAGUUCAGGCUUCCUCUGCUGCUACCUCAAUAUGUCUCAUUCUUGGUUUGGAGGGCUACCUCUAGUGGAGAGACUGGGUUGAGUCUCUGUGCCUGUUCAGUUAAUGACUUUC